UGGAUUUCUAGUAAGGGUUUUUUGUCUUC
rnacentral:piRNA from 1 species